rnacentral:misc_RNA from 1 species
GGAGAUGAAGGCGGGACGAAGAGAGGCGAGUGUAAUGAGGUACAAAGAGAAGAGACAGAACAGACUCUUUUCUAAAACUAUACGAUAUCAAGUUCGCAAGCUCAACGCUGAAAAACGCCCUCGCGUUAAGGGGAGAUUUGUUAAGAGGGAUUGAAGUGCCUCAGUUGGAGAAGUAAACCAGUAUGUGUAUUGUAGUUUUGAUAUAUAAACUGUUACAAAGGAGAAGGAGCUCUUGUCAGUCAAUGAAAUAUAUAUGGCCUCCUUUUAUUGCACUUUAUUAGGAUUUGUAUUAUUUGAAUUUUCUACUUGUAACCGAAACUGACCAUUUCAAAAUUAUAUUGUACCAAACUUGU